ensembl:lncRNA
CAAAGCAAAGAGCAAGGCAAAAGGGUUUGCUGGAAACAGGCUUAACUAGAAACAAGUGGUCUUCCAGUAUAUCAUUUAGGUAUUAGGGCUAGAUGUACGAUGAACAAUUCAUGUUUUAAAUCAACUAUGUUUAUGAUCAGUGAUGAACCUACAUUUCCAUUGAUUCUCACAAGGUACACUAUUAAACCAAUACGCUGGCUUCACUGAUCUCCUAAGGUCCACUAUUAAACCAAUACGCUAGCUUCACUGAUCUCCUAAGGUCGUUGGCUGAUGGUGUCGUAGACAGACUCAUCUCUCCUGGCCAGUGAAGAGUACGUUUGGCUCUCUUCCUUUCCUGUCACAGCUUUGCUGCGCUUCCUGUCAAAACAAAUCCUCAUUAGAAAAUCUUGACAAAAAUGUGUUCUACCUAAAAACAAAAUGAAUAUACCUUAUCAUCAUAUUAACAUCUCACCAUCUCUCUUAAACACUAGUAAUCAGCAUCUCUUACAUAAAUAAUAUACCUUAACAUCAUAUUAACAUCUCACCAUCUCUCUUAAACACUAGUAAUCAACAUCUCUUACAUAAAUAAUAUACCUUAACAUC